AGUAGCGAAGUUCCUGAUGUCACACUGCCAAGAAAAGCUUCUAGUGAGAAAGUAACUGCCCGUACCGCAAACCGUCACAGGUAGUUGAGGAGAGAAUCCUAAGGUGUGCGAGAGAACUCUCGUUAAGGAACUCGGCAAAAUGACCCCGUAACUUCGGGAGAAGGGGUGCUGACCGCAAGGUCAGCCGCAGUGAAUAGGCCCAAGCGACUGUUUAUCAAAAACACAGGCCUCUGCAAAAUCGAAAGAUGACGUAUAGGGGCUGACGCCUGCCCGGUGCUGGAAGGUUAAGAGGAGAGGUUAGCGCAAGCGAAGCUUUGAAUUGAAGCCCCAGUAAACGGCGGCCGUAACAAUAACGGUCCUAAGGUAGCGAAAUUCCUUGUCGGGUAAGUUCCGACCCGCACGAAAGGCGUAACGAUUUGGGCACUGUCUCAACGAGAGACUCGGUGAAAUUAUAGUACCAGUGAAGAUGCUGGUUACCCGCGACAGGACGGAAAGACCCCAUGGAGCCUUACUGCAGUUUGAUAUUGCGUGUUUGUAUCACAUGUACAGGAUAGGUAGGAGCCAAUGAUACCGGGACGCCAGUCUCGGAGGAGGCAACGGUGGGAUACUACCCUUGUGAUAUGACCACUCUAACCCGCUGCUCUUAGCGAGCAGGGAGACAGUGUCAGACGGGCAGUUUGACUGGGGCGGUCGCCUCCAAAAAUGUAACGGAGGCGCCCAAAGGUUCCCUCAGAAUGGUUGGAAAUCAUUCGUAGAGUGUAAAGGCAGAAGGGAGCUUGACUGCGAGACCUACAAGUCGAGCAGGGACGAAAGUCGGGCUUAGUGAUCCGGUGGUUCCGCAUGGAAGGGCCAUCGCUCAACGGAUAAAAGCUACCCUGGGGAUAACAGGCUUAUCUCCCCCAAGAGUUCACAUCGACGGGGAGGUUUGGCACCUCGAUGUCGGCUCAUCGCAUCCUGGGGCUGUAGUCGGUCCCAAGGGUUGGGCUGUUCGCCCUUUAAAGCGGUACGCGAGCUGGGUUCAGAACGUCGUGAGACAGUUCGGUCCCUAUCCGUCGCGGGCGUUGGAAAUUUGAGAGGAGCUGUCCUUAGUACGAGAGGACCGGGAUGGACACACCGCUGGUGCACCAGUUGUUCUGCCAAGAGCAUCGCUGGGUAGCUAUGUGUGGACGGGAUAAACGCUGAAAGCAUCUAAGCGUGAAGCCCCCCUCAAGAUGAGAUUUCCCAUCACUUUAAGUGAGUAAGACCCCUGAGAGAUGAUCAGGUAGAUAGGUUGGGAGUGGAAGUACAGCGAUGUAUGGAGCGGACCAAUACUAAUCGGUCGAGGACUUAAGC
rnacentral:rRNA from 1 species